GCACAUGCUGGGCACGUGGUAGACUAAUAUUCUGCUUCAAAAAAUUUGGGGGAAAAACACCCACUCCCUCCCCGUGUAACUGAACCCUAGCCUCCCACUAAUCAACUUCUCUCUCAUUCAAUUCAUAUUCUCGAAAAAUCACAGAUCUAUCAACUGAUUUCAACCAGAGAUCGAGGACUCUUUGGUUUCUAUUCGGGUUUUCCUACGUUUCAAGAUUGAAGAUUUGGAAGAUAGCUCGGGAAAUCGUUAACCGUGUUUGGUUGUAGGUAAUGAAAUUUAUUAUUAAAUAUUCGAGUUUGAUUCAGAUUUGUGUAUUUAUAGUUUAUCUGGUCAAUGGCUCCUGAUGAUAUCAAGGAGAAGGCCAACAAAGAAGGCAAGACUUCAGUCAUUGAUGUCACUCAGUUCGUUUUUUUAAGGUUUUUGGUAAGGGUGUUCUGCCUAAUUCUCAUCCUGUUGUUAUUUAGGGUAAGUUUAUUUCUAAAAUUGUUGAAGAGAAGAUCAAGGCCAGUGUUCUUUACUUUUAGUUAUUACCCAGUACAAUUUUGGUUAUAUAUUUGUGUUAGGAGGAACAUUUAUAUUCUUUUUGAUCUAGAUCCGGGAUUUGAGAACGCUUUUGUUGUUCUUAAUUCAUUCGAUUAAAUGAUAUGAAAUAGUUUUCAAUAAAUUUGGUUUUUAUAUUUAUGUUAAAUCAGAUAUUUGGGAUGUUUAGAUAUUUGAUUGGAUGAUGCUUUAUGGUCUCUUAAUUUUGCUUUGAAUCUUCAUUGGGUGUCCUAAAACAGUAACAUAUGGGCAUUAUUUGCAGCAAUUUGUUGUCUUGAGACUCAACUGAGAUUGAAUUGAAGCUUUAAUGGAACGCAAUUACCUGUCUCCAUGUAUUUUGUCAAUGAUUAUGGGUUCAUUUAUUGGUUUAAUGAAAUGAAUUUCAUAGUUUGACCAUAUUUGGCUUAAAUUUUAUGGCCAUUAGCACCACAUGAUUCCCAAUAGGACAAGUACGGUAAUAUUCUACAGUAAUUGAUUUAAUUAAGCUGCCUGGGUUUAACAAUUGUUUGAUAUUCUCUGUAUGAUGUUACUGAAUUUGCAAAUAUGAGAAGGGUCUCUUUCGUUUCAGUUUUUCAGUAUGUGUACCGAUUUAUUCAAUUAUUAUUACUGGCUUAUUUCAGAUUUAUAUUUUUCCAUCUUUAGGGUUUUAUCUGAGGAUUUCACUACAACAAAACACGCUAAUUCUCGACGACAUGAGCUCGACGCGAUACGUACAACGUUGGGGAAAAUUUUGAGGGAUUGCCUCUGUUCCAGGCCUGCCAGCUAUGGAGAUGACCAAGCGGCUCAACAUCAUGAACUUGCUCUUCCCACAAGGGAUUGAAUGAAUACACCAAAAAUCAAGGAAAAUUCGACAGCCAGUGUACCAAGGCCUAACCCUCAAGGUCUUAUCAUGCGUACCAUCAGGACAACAAAUUCUGAUCCAAUGAUAACCCUCAAGAUUCUUAUGAGGCAUUGAGAGAGCAUUGACUAAUGCGAUUAAUUUUAUGAUACUAGAUCUUGGAUGUAAUUGAGUUUGAUAAGUUGUUGAGUUGAGUUCCUUUGUAAUAAAAAUAAAAACAUUGAUUAACAUCUGAAUGCAAAAAAAAAAAUCUUUAUUAAUUCAUAAUUUCCUGCUUUUUUAAGGAAAUUUUUUGCAGCAUCACUCUAGCUUGUGUCUUUUGUAAAUUGUGUUCAGAGGCUGCAAGAUGGGAUUGUGUGCUUCAAGAGUAAGUUUAUGCGAAUCCCUUUUAACACUAUUUUGAACAACUCUCAAUGGAUGGAUUUUGUUAUCAUUAUGUUUAAUGCCUUAUCUAACCAUCUUUGAACUAAACCCCUCUCCUCAAUUUAUCUGAAUCCCUUUAUUAAUACUGUUUUGAACAACUCUCAAUGUACGCUUUCAUGUUUAUAUUCAACUCUAGUUUGUAACUGAAGUAGUAUGCUAAUGUUAUGCUGUCUUUGUUACUAAGGUGCUCAGAUCAUCAGGACCUGAUCUGUUCUGGUGAGUUGUGUUCAUUAUGUUCUGAAAUUAUAGUUUAUAUAGUGUGUGCGUCUUUCUCAUGUACUUGGUUGAGCUAGCUAGUUUAAUGACCAAGUGAUCUUUGAACAACAUCUCCUAGUUCUAUAGGUCUAUUCCUCGUAUUCUACUUAUUUGAUUAAUUUUUCUUAAUUUAUUUGUUAAAGUCGGUUUGAAUAUGAGUGCAUAAACUAUCAGAGUGGUGGGAAAGAAUUUCGAAACUCCUAAAAUCAAUCUCACAUAUCCGGUUCUAACAGCUUUGCAAACCAUCAAGCUUAUUAUGUAUGAAUCAUGAACUUAGCCCUAUAAAUUACACUACGAUAUGUAUUAUAAAAUUGGAUGAAAGAGUAUAAAUGGACUCACAAUGCUUUCUUUUACUCAUAGAUUUUGUGUUUGUUAAAUAUAUGCAUCUUAUCUUGUCAGAUUUUCUAUAGUACUUUUUACAUUGCUACCCAUGUAUAGGAAGACAAGCAUAGAGAAAAAAUGAAUUUAUUAGCCCAUUGGAUAAAAUCUCAUACGGGUAAGGACGAAACCUUUCUGUUGUGGUAUGAGUCCAAACUUAGUCGCCUUAUUAAGCUAUUUUUUGGUGAAAAAGAUAGGUGUGAUUGAUACCACUCUUAGCUUGAGGGGGGUGUAGAUCUAGUCCAUAACUCUGUCAAUAAAAGCAGGACCUCGUAAUAAGUUUAAUCUGUAAGCUAGCCUGGAAAUGAAGUCUUCUGAUAACUUUUUGGUGUUCUCUUCUUUAUUGUAUAAGCAAAUAGUACUAUAGAAUGGUUCUGCAAAUUCAUGAAGUUCUAAAGUUAAAACGAUGGGAUAAUAAUAUGCUAUGCAAUACAAGAUGUAUGCUAAAUUAUAACUUUUAAUAUGCUAUGCAAUACAAGAUGUAUGCUAAAUUAUAACUUUUUAUUUCAUUGAAAAAAAAAAGUGGUAUUCUACCGCAAUGGUUACCAAACUCCACAAAACCUGAACAACCACUUUUAUUUAUCAUAUACAUGUCUGGUUGUUGAUUCUUGUUUUUGUUAUGGAUGCAUUGUAUUGGAGUUGUUAUUGUAGCUUAAAACUAAGUGCUGCACCAAAUACGAGUUCUGCUCUUCCACUUUUAUUCCUUGUCAAAAUUUACAGGUUCUGCUCUACCUGAUCUGCUUGUGCUAUUUUCGAAAUAGUUUAUAAGCAUUGGAAUAAAAUAGAUGAUAUCAUGCUGCCAUUUUUAUUAAUUGUUACUAUUCCUUUUAGGUUGUUACUGUAAUCUACGGAAAUUGACAAGAGAGAAACGAAUGACUGCCAUAAAGCUAAGGUUGCUAGAAAGGACAUCGAGUUGGGAUCCUAUAUUUAUUCGACGCCCUGUUGCUGCUCCAUCAUUGAUCAUGUAUUUUUUUAGAUAAUGUUUUUGCUGAGUAUUAGGUUUUUAUAUGUGAGGGAUUUUUUGAUGUAUGUAUACCUUUGUAAUUGAUAUUUGUAUAUUCUUAUUUUUGGAAAUAAAACAUGUUGCUGCUAGCUUGUUAUGACA